AUUGAACGCUGGCGGCAGGCCUAACACAUGCAAGUCGAGCGCGCGGCGCACGGGUUAGUAUUGUCUGUGAAACUGCCUGAUGUAGGGGGAUAACUACUGGAAACGGUAUCUAAUACCGCAUACCAUCUGAUGUUCCCAGCUGGGAUUGGCUGGUAGGUGGGGUAACGGCUCCCCUAGGCGACGAUCCCUAGCUGGUCUGAGAGGAUGACCAGCCACACUGGAACUGCGACACGGUCCAGACUCCUACGGGAGGCAGCAGUGGGGAAUAUUGCACAAUGGGCGCAAGCCUGAUGCAGCCAUGCCGCGUGUGUGAAGAAGGCCUUCGGGUUGUAAAGCACUUUCAGCGGGGAGGCGUUAACCGAAGAAGAAGCACCGGCUAACUCCGUGCCAGCAGCCGCGGUAAUUG
rnacentral:rRNA from 1 species